CCUACGGGUGGCAGCAGUGGGGAAUAUUGGACAAUGGGCGAAAGCCUGAUCCAGCCAUGCCGCGUGUGUGAAGAAGGCCUUCGGGUUGUAAAGCACUUUCAGUGGGGAAGAAAGCCUUGGGGCUAAUACCCUCGAGGAAGGACAUCACCCACAGAAGAAGCACCGGCUAACUCCGUGCCAGCAGCCGCGGUAAUACGGAGGGUGCGAGCGUUAAUCGGAAUUACUGGGCGUAAAGCGCGCGUAGGCGGUCUGAUAAGCCGGUUGUGAAAGCCCCGGGCUCAACCUGGGAACGGCAUCCGGAACUGUCAGGCUAGAGUGCAGGAGAGGAAGGUAGAAUUCCCGGUGUAGCGGUGAAAUGCGUAGAGAUCGGGAGGAAUCCCAGUGGCGAAGGCGGUCUUCUGGACUGACACUGACGCUGAGGUGCGAAAGCGUGGGUAGCAAACAGGAUUAGAUACCCGGGUAGUC
rnacentral:rRNA from 1 species